GUCAAAUAUAUUAAAGUUUAUGAUGGAUACCUAGGCAUUUAGAGUCGAUGAAGGGCGUGGAUACCAACGAAAUGCUUCGGUUAGUUGGAAACAAACUGUGAUCCGAAGAUUCCCGAAUAGGAAAACCUAUAUAACUACUUAGUAAAUUCAUAACUAAGUAAGAGACAACCUGCUGAAUUGAAACAUCUUAGUAAGCAGAGGAAAAGAAAGCAAACGCGAUUUCCUUAGUAGCGGCGAGCGAAACGGAAUUAGUCUAAUCAUUAAAAAAAAAACUAUUAAACGAAGCAGCUGAAUCCUGCACCAUAGAUGGUGAAAGUCCCGUAGUUUAAAAUAGAAAAAUUGAUUAUAAAGUAGCAUGGAACACGUGAAAUUCCGUGUGAAUAUACGAGGACCACCUCGUAAGACUAAAUACUCCUAAAUGACCGAUAGUGAAACAGUACCGUGAGGGAAAGGUGAAAAAGAACCCCUGUAGGGGAGUGAAAAAGAACAUGAAAUCAUAAACUGACAAUCAGUGGGAGCUAAAGUGACCGCGUGCCUGUUGAAGAAUGAGCCGGCGACUUAUAGGUAGUGGCUUGGUUAAAAUAACUUUUUGGAGCCAAAGCGAAAGCAAGUCUGAUAAGGGCGUAUGUCACUAUUUAUAGACCCGAACCCGAGUGAUCUAACCAUGGCCAGGAUGAAUCUUGGGUAACACCAAGUGGAAGACCGAACCGACUGAUGUUGAAAAAUCAGCGGAUGAGCUGUGGUUAGGGGUGAAAUUCCAGUCGAACUCGGAGCUAGCUGGAUCUCCUCGAAAUGUGUUGAGGCGCAGCGGUUGAUGAUGGGCUAUUUAGGGGUAAAGCACUGUUUCGGUGCGGGCUGCGAAAGCGGUACCAAAUCGUGGCAAACUAAGAAUACUAAAUAAUACGCUUUCCAUCAACCAGUAAGACAGUGGGGGAUAAGCUUCAUUGUCAAAAGGGAAACAGCCCAGAUCACCAGUUAAGGCCCCAAAGUGAUGGCUAAGUGAUAAAGGAAGUAAAAAGGCAAAGACAACCAGAAGGUUUGCUUAGAAGCAGCCAUCCUUGAAAGAGUGCGUAAUAGCUCACUGGUAGAGCCUUUUUGCGCCGAAAAUGAACGGGGCUAAGUCAUCCGCCGAAACUGUGGGUUACAGUUUUAACUGUUACGGUAGAGGAGCGUUCCGUUAUAGGGUGAAGUUAAAAUGUGAAUUUUAAUGGACGAAACGGAAGUGAGAAUGUCGGCUUGAGUAACGAAAACAUUGGUGAGAAUCCAAUGCCCCGAAAACCUAAGGGUUCCUUCACAAGGUUCGUCCAUGGAGGGUUAGUCAGGACCUAAGGCGAGAUCGAAAGGUGUAGUCGAUGGAAAACAGGUUAAUAUUCCUGUACUUGAUUUAAUUUGAUAAAGAGGGACGGAGAAGGCGGUAACUAGCUAGAUAUUGGUAUUCUAGUAGAAGUAUUGAAUUCUUAAAAGAAUGAAAAAAAACUUUCUUUAGAAAACAUACGAUCUAACUGGUGCUCUAUUUAUAUAGAGUUUUGGUUUAGUUUUAGUCAUACUUCCAAGAAAAGCUUUUAUUAUCGUUAAAUUAAAUCAACCUGUACCCUAAACUGACACAAGUAGGUAGGUAGAGAAUACUAAGGGGCGCGAGAUAACUCUCUCUAAGGAACUCGGCAAAAUGGCCCCGUAACUUCGGGAGAAGGGGUGCCUACAUAAUGUAGGCCGCAGUGACCAGGCCCAGGCGACUGUUUAUCAAAAACACAGGUCUCCGCAAAGUCGUAAGACAAUGUAUGGGGGCUGACGUCUGCCCAGUGCCGGAAGGUAAAAGAAGUUGGUUAUUCUUCGGAAAAAGCUGACGACUGAAGCCCCGGUGAACGGCGGCUGUAACUCUGACAGUCCUAAGGUAGCGAAAUUCCUUGUCGAGUAAGUUUCGACCCGCACGAAAGACGUAACGAUCUGGGCACUGUCUCGGAGAGAGACUCGGUGAAAUAGAAAUGUCUGUGAAGAUGCGGACUACUUAUACCAGGACAGAAAGACCCUAUGAAGCUUGACUGUAAUUUGGAAUUGGGUUCGGGCUUUUUUUGCGCAGUCUAGGUGGGAGGCGUUGAUAUUAAGUUUUCGGACUUAAUGGAGCCAUCAGUGAGAGACCACUCUAAAAGAGCUAGAAUUCUAAUAGGACUCCUUGAAUCAGGAUCCUUGACAGUUUCAGAUGGACAGUUUGACUGGGGCGGUGACCUCCCAAAAGGUAACGGAGGUGUGCAAAGGUUCCCUCAAGCUGGACGGAAAUCAGCUGUAGAGUGCAAAGGUAUAAGGGAGCUUGACUGCAAGACCAACAAGUCGAGCAGAGGCGAAAGCCGGCCUUAGUGAUCCGACGGUUCCGAGUGGAAGGGCCGUCGCUCAACGGAUAAAAGUUACUCUAGGGAUAACAGGCUGAUCUCCCCCAAGAGUUCACAUCGACGGGGAGGUUUGGCACCUCGAUGUCGUUUCAUCGCAACCUGGGGCUGGAGUAGGUCCCAAGGGUUGGGCUGUUCGCCCAUAAAAGCGGUACGUGAGAUGGGUUCAGAACGUCGCGAGACAGUUCGGUCCAUAUCCGGUAUAAGCGUAAGAGCAUUGAGAGGAUCUCAACAUUGUACGAGAGGACCCGAAGGGACGUACCGAUGGUGUACCAGUUCUUAUGCCAAUAGGAAACGCUGGGUAGCUAUGUACGGAGUGGAUAAUCGCUGAAAGCAUUUAAGUGAGAAGCCCACCUCAAGAUGAAUGCUCUCUAUCAGAUCGCGGCAAGACAAGCCGAUAGAUUGGCAUCAAGUGUAAGAUUAGUAAUAAUUUCAGCUGAGAUGUACAAAGGAUCGACUGAUUUUGACCUUAUAUA
rnacentral:rRNA from 1 species